UCCAUCUUUCUGCGACCAGAA
ensembl:piRNA 21ur-2146 ncRNA